GACAGAGGGUGCAAACGUUGUUCGGAAUUACUGGGCGUAAAGCGCAUGUAGGCUGCUCUGCAGGUCGGAUGUGAAAUCCCUCGGCUCAACCAAGGAAGUGCAUUCGAAACCGCAGAGCUAGAGUCCCGGAGAGGAAGGUGGAAUUCUCGGUGUAGAGGUGAAAUUCGUAGAUAUCGAGAGGAACACCGGUGGCGAAAGCGGCCUUCUGGACGAGGACUGACGCUGAGAUGCGAAAGCGUGGGGAGCAAACAGG
rnacentral:rRNA from 1 species